AGCAAAAGGGUGGAACCAAGCUUGGGAAGAGACAGAGAUGUUGAGAAGCUGUGCCAAGUCCAUGGUGAAUCUUUCCCUCUUGUAUUGUUCAGAUGAUUAGUCUUGAGAGCACUAGAACACCUGAAACAUGCAAGAUUAAUCAGUCCUGCGAUGGAGUUAUUUAAAUGCUUUACCGUGAGGAUGGAUUCAAAUCAUCACUGAAGGUAAAAGCCCUCACAGACAUGAGGACACCAAAGUCCUUCAGAGCAUGGCCAUAGGAAAUGCUCGUCACCAUUUCAACAGCUCUAAAACUGGAUGUUGCAGGUGUCUCACAUAGACAGCUGCAAUUUUACUGAUGCUGUGCAGCACAGGAUAUCCACUCUCAUUACGUUUCAAGACACAGGAAAUGCAACUCAGUAUCUGAAUGCAUAAGAAGGAAGGAACCUUUUAAAGUUCAAGGAUUCAAGAAGCCUGUUGACAGCAAUACACACUGGUAUAUAAAAAUCAAUUGCAAACUUUAAUACUUACAUGUGCUGGCUUCCAAGCCCCCAAAAGCCCCCACUGAGGAGGUUCACAAAUGGGAAGUGAAGAAUACCAGGCACUUGGAUCCUUAUUGUGAAGACUGACUGAAGAGAAGCAUGCAAAACAUAAGGUGCUAUACAAAAACCUUUGAAUCAGAAUGGGUAACUACACAAAUAAUAAACAAAAUAAAAAUACGUUGAGAAA